rnacentral:rRNA from 1 species
UACGGAGGGUGCAAACGUUGCUCGGAAUCAUUGGGCGUAAAGCGCACGUAGGUGGCUUGUUAAGUCGGGUGUGAAAUCCCUGGGCUCAACCCAGGAAGUGCACUCGAAACUGGCGAGCUUGAGUACUGAAGAGGGUCGCGGAAUUCCCGGUGUAGAGGUGAAAUUCGUAGAUAUCGGGAGGAACACCAGUGGCGAGGGCGGCGACCUGGGCAGAUACUGACACUGAGGUGCGAAAGCGUGGGGAGCAAACAGG